GCAGCGUCGGCGCAAGAUACAAGCGGCGCGUCAAGCGCGCAAAAGCGGGGAGAGAGCGGCAUUUCCCCUCAGCCGCUUUGCGAGCCUCGCCGGUGGAGGGCGCACACCAACCGCGAGGCUCUGCCGGGCGUCGUGCCACCACGCAGAGGUUUGGACUGGCGGUCUUUUGCAGCCAAACAUAAGCGGAAAGAAACAUGUCCAAGCCACAGUCAUAUGCCUCACGUGCCUCGGGGUGGAUCGACCGUCGGGGAAGAAAGGCAGCCAGCCCAUUCCAGGUCGCCUUCGAUCGACCGCUGUGGAACAUGUGUUCUGUAGUCUUCGUCUCUUUGUGCCUGUUGUUGUCGUUUAUUAAUCGUGGGUAAAUUGGAAGGUAUGCGCCACAUUAGACCGCUUUUUUGUUGCGUCACGAAGAACGUACAGCCCGUGUGUACGAGCGCACUCUUCCGCAAGAGUAACUAUUUACAAAGUUGGAUAUUCAGAGGCGCUAUAACGUAAAUCUAUUCCAAACUUUUCUAUUCCAGUUCCAUGCAAUAAGCUCUCCACGAUCGGUAAAAAAAAUUCGCACCACCCCCACUUCACCGGUCUGUCACGCGAAGUCACAGAAACCGCGAAAACGCCCCAUUUGAUAUAAUAUGUGCACACUGAUUAUACGUGAUUAGACCAAAUGAAAGAAAAAUAAAUAUUUGAGUCGACGUCUUUGCGCCUUUAGCCCUCUGCUAUUGGUCAAGGGUUUUCGAGCUGCGCUCACUUCGCCUGUCUGUCACGAGACGUCAUAAAAACGCAAGAACUCACGUGGUCAGACUGACGUGCACCCGUUAAAGAUGCAUUAAUAUGCCGAACAAAACUGUGUUUUUUUUCUGAAUAGCCGGGCAGUGCCCGGUUCCGAAAGGAAUAGAUGAUGGCUGCCCACCGAUCGCUCUGGCCCUUGCAAGUCGGAGCUGUCGGGGAGCAUGGAUUUAUUUGUGUAUAAUAAAAAUCUUGCGUGGCAGUGUAACGUUA